AGACCAUCCUGGAGCCUCUACUGGAGGUGUCUCCUAUCUCUCUCUCUCUCUCUCUCUCUCUCUCCAUCCUAAUUUAAGGUCUGUUUUUCCUGCGUCAGGAGUGGGGGUAAAAUGACCCCUGCGAGUAUUCCAAAUGUGAAUACCUCGGGCGCGUAAUUUUUGGUAGCGGGGAUUGCGUACGCGCACAUCCCUA
rnacentral:snRNA from 11 species